rnacentral:lncRNA from 1 species
GCCGGCUGCCGGGCACGGCAGUGGGAGCCCAACGCAGCCGGGAGCCGCCCGCCCGCCCGGUCGUUCGUUCCUUCUUCGUUCGUUCUCCCGCCGCCAGCUCGGUCUGUCCCCGGGGGAGCCGCCGCGGAGAACCGUGCUUGCGGCCGCCGGCAAGGUUGACCAGCCUGGAUCGCGGCGCUAGGGACCUGAAGCAAGGAUCCUGACUGAUGCGUGUUUAGUACGACCUGACUUCUUGAGGAGAACAAGUAUUUCUCUGAAGGCCAGUCCUCUCAAAGCAGCACGCAGGUAAGGCAGACGGAGCUCCCGACGCUCGGGCUCAAGCGCUGCUGGGCUCUGC